GGAUAUGAGGGUGAUAUGGCUGCGACAUCUGUCACCUCAUUGAUUGCAGGGUUGAUUCAGCUGAUCUGGCUGGCUAGGCAGGUGUCCCCUUCCUCCCACAACAAUCCAUGUGUGUCCCUCUUGAAACUGUGUGCUCGGUUGAAGAGGACGACCACCCCUGAUAGAGGAGGACCGUUCCUCGGUUAAGGGUAUAUGAGUAGCUGCGCUCUCCUGCUAGAACCUCCAAACAAGCUUUCAACACCCAUUUAAAAAUCAGAAUAGUCAAGUGUGGAGUGAAUGUACAGCUCUCAGCAUUCUCCAAAGAUUUUGGGUGCUAGACUGA
rnacentral:snRNA from 1 species